rnacentral:rRNA from 1 species
UUUGAUAAAGCUACUAAGGGCAUACGGUGGAUGCCUUGGUACAUGGCGGCGAAGAAGGACGUGGUAAGCUGCGAUAAGCCUCGGUGAGGUGCAAACAACCUUAGAUCCGGGGAUAUCCGAAUGGGGCAACCCAUCCCGGGUAAUGCUGGGAUACACCCAUCUGAAUAUAUAGGAUGGGCUGAGCGAACGGGGUGAAUUGACACAUCUUAGUAACCCCAGGAAAAGAAAACAAGAGUGAUUUCCUAAGUAGUGGCGAGCGAACAGGAAAGAGUCUAAACCUUGAUCGUGUUAAAGUCUGCAUGCGUUGCGGUCAAGGGGUUGCGAGGUUGAAUUGGAGCUGGAUGCAGUUGGCUCAGCGAGUCAAAAAAUUCUUAGUUAACUGAAUGAUAUGGAAAGAUCAACCGUAGAAGGUGAUAGUCCUGUAAGUGAAAACUAAGGAUCUCGCUGGAUUCAAUUCUCAAGUAGCACGGAACACGUGAAAUUCCGUGUGAAUCUGGCAGGACCAUCUGCUAAGACUAAAUACUCCCAUGUGACCGAUAGUGAACUAGUACCGUGAGGGAAAGGUGAAAAGUACUCCUAACGGAGAGUGAAAUAGAACCUGAAACCGUAUGUCUACAAGCGGUCGGAAUCCGGCAACCGCCGGAUGACGGCGUGCCUUUUGCAUAAUGAGCCAGCGAGUUGCUCGUAUGUCGCAAGGUUAAUCCCGAUACUUCGGGAGGAGCCGUAGCGAAAGCAAGUCUGAAUAGGGCGUUUUAGUGAUAUGCGGCAGACCCGAAUCCGGGUGAUCUAGCUAUGGCCAGGUUGAAGCGUCCGUAACAGGUCGUGGAGGACCGAACCCACCAGGGUUGAAAACCUGGGGGAUGAGCUGUGGCUAGGGGUGAAAGGCCAAUCAAACCCGGCGAUAUCUGGUUCUCCCCGAAAUACCUUUAGGGGUAGCGUCAUGGUAAUGCUCUGGGGGUAGAGCACUGGAUGGACUAGGGGCCCUACAAGGUUACCAAACCCAACUAAACUCCGAAUACCAGAGUAAUAUUCCGUGGCAGUGAGGCUAUGGGGGAUAAGCUCCGUAGCCGAGAGGGAAACAACCCAGACCAGCAGUUAAGGUCCCUAAAUUUGGGUUAAGUGAUAAAGGAUGUGGGAUCGCACAGACAGCUAGGAGGUUGGCUUAGAGGCAGCCAUCCUUUAAAGAAAGCGUAACAGCUCACUAGUUAAGGGGUCCUGCGCCAACAAUCCCCGGGACUCAAACCCAAUACCGAAACUCUGGUCCCCCGAUUUAUCGGGGGAGGUAGGGGAGCGUUCCAUUAACCUGUGAAGUCCCAGCCGGGAGGCGGGAUGGAGGAGAUGGAAGUGAGAAUGCUGGCAUGAGUAGCGAUAAUCCCGGUGAAAUUCCGGAACACCGAAAGCCUAAGGUUUCCUGAGUAAAGUAACUCUGCUCAGGGUUAGUCGGGACCUAAGCCGAGGCCGAAGGGCGUAGGCGAUGGACAACAGGUUUAAUAUUCCUGUACCACCUUAUGAUUGUUUGAACGAUGGGGGGACGCAGAAGUGAAAGGUCAGCCCGGUUUUGAUCGUCCGGGUUUAAGUGUGUAGAGGGUUCUGGUAGGUAAAUCCGCCGAACAUUAACCUCGAGACACAAAUAGGAGUCCCUAGGACAUAAACUGACCCUAAUCAUGCUGCCGAGAAAAGCCUCUAAGUGAGAUUGUAGGGUGCCCGUACCACAAACCGACACAGGUAGGCGGGAUGAGUAUUCUAAGGUGUUUGAGUGAAUUCCGGUAAAGGAACUAGGCAAAUUAACCCCGUAACUUCGGAAGAAGGGGUGCCCCGAGUAGGUAAAACUGUUACAAGUUGAGCAGAAAGGGGCCGCAGCGAACAGACUCGGGCGACUGUUUACUAAAAACACAGGUCUCUGCUAAGUUGUAAGACGAUAUAUAGGGACUGACACCUGCCCGGUGCCGGAAGGUUAAGAGGAGGGGUUAUCUCCCGACUUGUCGGGGGAGAAGCUCUGAAACGAAGCCCCGGUAAACGGCGGCCGUAACUAUAACGGUCCUAAGGUAGCGAAAUUCCUUGUCGGGUAAGUUCCGACCUGCACGAAUGGUGUAACGACUUGAGUACUGUCUCUACCGGAAGCUCAGUGAAAUUGUAGUGUCGGUGAAGAUGCCGGCUACCCGCGGCAGGACGAAAAGACCCCGUGAACCUUUACUACAGCUUGGCAUUGGGUCUUGGUUCUGUAUGUGUAGGAUAGGUGGGAGGCAGUGAAACCCCGGCGCCAGUCGGAGUGGAGCCAUCCUUGAAAUACCACCCUUAUAUUGCUGAGAUUCUAAUCCCUACCCUUGAAUCAGGGGGGGAGACAUUGUCUGGUGGGUAGUUUGACUGGGGCGGUCUCCUCCUAAACAGUAACGGAGGAGCCCAAAGGUUCCCUCAGCACGGUUGGUAAUCGUGCGAAGAGCGCAAAGGUAUAAGGGAGCUUGACUGCAAGCCCGACGGGGCAAGCAGGUGCGAAAGCAGGGCUUAGUGAUCUGGUGGUUCCGAAUGGAAGGGCCAUCACUCAUCGGAUAAAAGGUACUCCGGGGAUAACAGGCUCAUCGCCUCCGAGAGCUCAUAUCGACGAGGCGGUUUGGCACCUCGAUGUCGGCUCAUCACAUCCUGGGGCUGGAGAAGGUCCCAAGGGUUGGGCUGUUCGCCCAUUAAAGUGGUACGUGAGCUGGGUUUAGAACGUCGUAAGACAGUUCGGUCUCUAUCCGCCGUGGGCGUAGGAAAUUUGAGGGAUGCUGUUCCUAGUACGAGAGGACCGGAACGGACGAACCUCUGGUGUACCAGUUGUCCCAUCAGGGGCACUGCUGGGUAGCUACGUCCGGCAGGGAUAAACGCUGAAAGCAUAUAAGCGUGAAGCCCUUCCCAAGAUAAGAUUUCCCUUCCCCCGACUUGUCGGGGGAGUGAAGGCUCCCCGUAGACUACGGGGUCGAUAGGCCACAAGUGUACAUACAGUAAUGUAUUUAGCUGAGUGGUACUAAUCAGCCGUCAGGCUUUAUCAA